GUGUCAGCCGCCGCGGUAAUACGUAGGGGGCAAGCGUUGUCCGGAUUUACUGGGUGUAAAGGGCGCGCAGGCGGGAUAGCAAGUCAGAGGUGAAAUCCUACAGCUUAACUGUAGAACUGCCUUUGAUACUGUUAUUCUUGAGUUCGGGAGAGAGAGACGGAAUUCCAGGUGUAGUGGUGAAAUACGUAGAUAUCUGGAAGAACACCAGUUGCGAAGGCGGUCUCUUGGUCCGAUACUGACGCUGAGGCGCGAAAGCGUGGGGAGCAAACAGGAUUAGAAACCCCCGUAGUCC
rnacentral:rRNA from 1 species